AGUGGGCAUAAAUAAAGAUCCUCAUUUCAAUAUCAGCUUGUAGAAAUAUCAAUUUUACUGAUGUCCUUCAUUACAUGUACAUAUAACCAAAGUGUGUCAAUAGAGAGCAGUCGUCACACCUUCUCCUACCAGAGUAAAGGCUACCAGUACACGUCAGCGCUCUCCUGGAGUGCGUACGGUUGCGGACAUUUGGAAAAUUUGGUCUCCGGCAGAUGCAGGUGGACUGUCACUACUUGCAGGUGUACCUGUGGAAGUUUGUAUCAGAUGAGCAGCUGGUGAGGAUGCUCCUGGAGCAGGUGAUGGCCAGCACCAUUGAGCGCUGUGUUGAAUACACCCUCAUGGAACAAAGUGUGGUUGAGCAGAUAUGGAGAUAAUCAUUGCCUGCCUUAUAUUACUUUGUGAACAUAAUUAUAGCUUAGUGAAAUUGUUUUAGUGAAAUUGUUGCCAUA